CUGAGUAUUUUAUGGGGGAGAGAAUCAUGUGACAUUCCCCCUUUCCUUACUAGACUUGCCAAUCUUAUGUGGGGUGAACCCAUUUUUGCCUUUCUCAUUUGAAUGUUGCUCUAUUUUGCCAAUAGACAAUUAUGACAUGCUUGCAUGUUCAUAGUUAGUGCACCUCACAUUGGUCACUUAGCUCAUCCAAAAUGAGCUUGAUAUCUCAUGAAACUCUCAUGUCAUGUGCACAUGUGUCAAUCACAUGCCCACUUGCCACAUUUAUGCCACACAUACUACUCUCUUUCCAUGCACGCCUAUUCUAAUUAUGUUCUAAGAACUGCCAAAUAUCAACCUAUCAUACUCUAACAUCAUGUGGAGUGCUAUGUGCCCCUAUUGUGCUGAUGUUGUGCUAGCAUAGUCCACCAUUUAUGUUGUGUUACCCCACUUGUUGCAUAUGUGAUACCAAUCCUCAUAUGUUAGAUCAGCACAACAUGUCUAGUGUGCACUUGCGUGCAUAUAACCACCAACACUACAAAGGGAUAUGCCUAGACCUUUCAAUAAAAACCUCACUCAAUGACACUAGAGGCAUCACAUUGAGUAAUGGCUGCAUAACCUACUACAAAC
rnacentral:lncRNA from 1 species